GUGUCAACUUUCCAAAGUUACAGCCACGAAACUUGCUAUAAAUCAUUUAAAAACGGAGGAUUGAACCAACUUUAUGUGCUUUAGCAAAGGAGGGUGGGACACCUGAUCCCAAAGGCAGGCCGACGAGGCGCCUAAUAUCCGGGGGACGUGACUUCCGGGUUGUUAGUCCGGAGAGCAACUCAAAGGAGAAGUAUCGUAAAGAAGAAGAACGGUGACCAACAUGUCUCUGCUCCUGGACAACCGAUUCUGCGAGCUGCCCACAGACAACUCCGUCAACACCAAACUCUUCUUGGAGACCGUCUCGCACCUUCCGUCCUUCUUCGACUGUUUGGGCUCCAAAGUGUUCUCACUCAUCAAGUCAGACAUUAAUGGCAACAUCACGAAAAUUAAAGAAGUGUACGUGAAGGAUCCGCAGAGGUACGUCACCCUGCAGCACAUCCUAGAGGCCGAGCGACAAGACCUGGCGGCCGAGUGGCCCAAAGCGGGAGCCACACUGGCUCUCAUGUGGCUCAAGAGGGGUCUCCGUUUUAUCCAAAUCCUGCUGCAGAGUUUGGUGGACGGCGAGAGAGACCUGAACCAGCCCAACCACAUACGUAUCAACGUGACCAAAGCCUACGAACAGGCGCUCAAGCGAUACCACGGGUGGUUUGUGCAGAAGAUUUUCAAUACGGCGCUGUACGCGGCUCCCUACAGGUCCAACUUCCUCAAGGCGCUGUCGAAAGGAGAGGAUGUGAAAGAGGAAGAGUGUCUGGAAAACGUGCGUCACUUCCUGGUCAACUACGCCGCCACCGUUGACGCCAUUCACGAGAUGUACGCGCGCCUCGACGCGGAGCUAGACUACACAGUUUGAUGUUGGAGGACUGCGUGGUGUGAUUUAUGUACCUUCCACGUUUGCGUUUUAUUUAUUUCGUUUUUGUUUUUGACUGAUGACAUUAUCUGUGAAGCCUUACACUUGAACGAGUGUUACAUUUUUGUGUGUUUUCAAUGCAUCUCUCGCGUGCUAUUUUUUAACAUGAUGUCAUAAAUACAACUGGUGCCUUAAUGUGGCUGGACUGGACCAAUGGACAAUGUUGUAAAUAUGUAUUUACUGGAAAAUAUAACAAUGGCAUUACAAUUUUCCUAAAAGUGUUUUUUUAUUUAUAUAUAUAUAUAUAUAUAUAUAUAUAUAUAUAUGCUGUUUAAUUGAAGGGUGUGGUUGUUUUGUUAUAACAAUGUGUAAUGCUUUGUCAAUGCCAUUUGUUCAUUAUAGCAACGUAAUUCUCUGAUCGUAUGUCUUUUUCGCUAGGACUUUAUUUAGUUUUAAAAAAUCCCAUCAUUUAUAAAUGCAUCACAGCAAACCCCGUGACAUCGCCCUGCUGUCUUAUUGGUUGGUAGCGGGUCAGCGCGAAAAUAUAAACCGGAAGAACGUUUGUAGUAGAGCGGAAUGAAUGAAAUGACACUUAAAACAAUCACAACAUUGAGCAAAACAGUUCUUUUCUUGAUAACUUUUGCGAUUAUUUACCAGGCUUUAGUUUGCUAGUAAAAGGAAAAGUUCGGCCGCCUUAUCUGAAGUAUGUCGCAGGAGGUCGGCGCGGCUCCUGUUCCCCUCCCGGAGGAGCCGGGCCUGAACUAAUCGUCUGCGAGAAAGAAGAGAGGAGACGAGGAGGAGAGCACGUCUGUGUUCCAGGAACGGGGCUUUUGUUACCAUGACGAAUGUCGGCGGCGGUAGGGGCGUUGCGACGAGACGGACGGCUGCCACUUGCAGAACGGCAGCCUCGAUCGAGUGUGGAAGAAAAAAGUCA